GACUUCGUGGUGUAGUGGUCAGCACGCUCGACGCGUAUACAAGAGGUCCGUGGUUCGAGUCCCGGCGAGGGCA
rfam:Stegodyphus mimosarum contig35851, whole genome shotgun sequence.